UCUCCAUUUGCGUGGGUGUCGAAUUCUCCAUAGAACCAAAUACCAUUUCUUAUGCUUUUAAUUUCUCACAAAAUUUCCUUAACGAAAAUUGACGGGAAACUUGCGUAGAUCAUUAUUCUAAUCUUUAAUCAACGAUCAAGGCGUUUUCCGGCCAAAACCACCGGAAACCGGUGACCGGAAACUUGAGCAAACGGGACAGAGCGUGUUGGCUCAGUCCCAAGCUCAAUUGGCAGCAGUUACUGCUGAAACUGUUCCGGCAGUAAAUGAAGGGGGGGCGAGCCCCGGGUGCCAAAAUAUUUGACGAAAAAAUAUUUUUGGAUUUUAAAAGUGUGGUGUAUUUGUUGAGAUUUUCUAAAAGUGUAUUUUUAAAAAAUUAUGUGGAUUGUAUAAGUGUUGGAGUUAUAAUGGAAUUAUAAUUCUAUGUUUAUUUAUUGAAUUAAAUAAACUAGUGUGGUUAGAGUUUAUCGUAUGGAAAUACGAUGACGCGGAAACCGGCGAGCAAAGGAUUUGAAAUUUCGACGGGCGAAAUUUUUAAAUUUGGAAUAAGCAAAUACUGUGGGUGUGUUUACAACUUAUACUGCUAAAUAUUAGUAUUAAAAAUAUUUACGAACUGCUUUA